rnacentral:rRNA from 1 species
GACGAACGCUGGCGGCGUGCUUAACACAUGCAAGUCGAACGGUGACGAGGAGCUUGCUCCUCUGAUCAGUGGCGAACGGGUGAGUAACACGUGAGCAACCUGCCCCAGACUCUGGGAUAACAGUUGGAAACAGCUGCUAAUACCGGAUACGAGACGGAGAGGCAUCUCUACCGUCUGGAAAGUUUUUCGGUCUGGGAUGGACUCGCGGCCUAUCAGCUAGUUGGUGAGGUAAUGGCUCACCAAGGCGACGACGGGUAGCCGGCCUGAGAGGGCGACCGGCCACACUGGGACUGAGACACGGCCCAGACUCCUACGGGAGGCAGCAGUGGGGAAUAUUGCACAAUGGGCGAAAGCCUGAUGCAGCGACGCCGCGUGAGGGAUGACGGCCUUCGGGUUGUAAACCUCUUCUAGCAGGGAAGAAGCGAAAGUGACGGUACCGUGCAGAAGAAGCGACCGGACUAACUACGUGCCAGCAGCCGCGGUAGCAUAC